rnacentral:rRNA from 1 species
GACGAACGCUGGCGGCGUGCUUAACACAUGCAAGUCGAACGGAAAGGCCCUGCUUUUGUGGGGUGCUCGAGUGGCGAACGGGUGAGUAACACGUGACUAACCUGCCCUUGACUUUGGGAUAACUUCAGGAAACUGGGGCUAAUACCGGAUAGGAGCUCCUGCUGCAUGGUGGGGGUUGGAAAGUUUCGGCGGUUGGGGAUGGACUCGCAGCUUAUCAGCUUGUUGGUGGGGUAGUGGCUUACCAAGGCUUUGACGGGUAGCCGGCCUGAGAGGGUGACCGGCCACAUUGGGACUGAGAUACGGCCCAGACUCCUACGGGAGGCAGCAGUGGGGAAUAUUGCACAAUGGGCGGAAGCCUGAUGCAGCAACGCCGCGUGCGGGAUGACGGCCUUCGGGUUGUAAACCGCUUUCGCCUGUGACGAAGCGUGAGUGACGGUAAUGGGUAAAGAAGCACCGGCUAACUACGUG